UGUUCUUAUAUAAGGUGGAUUUCUAUCCGACGCAGCUCUGUUCUUAUAUAAGGUGGAUUUCUAUCCAACACAGCUCUCAAUGUUCUUAUAUAAGGUGGAUUUCUAUCCAACACAGCUCUCAAUGUUCUUAUAUAAGGUGGAUUUCUAUCCGACACAGCUCUCAAUGUUCUUAUAUAAGGUGGAUUUCUAUCCGACACAGCUCUCAAUGUUCUUAU